rnacentral:rRNA from 1 species
AGAGUUUGAUCAUGGCUCAGAUUGAACGCUGGCGGCAGGCCUAACACAUGCAAGUCGAGCGGUAGCACAGAGAGCUUGCUCUCGGGUGACGAGCGGCGGACGGGUGAGUAAUGUCUGGGAAACUGCCUGAUGGAGGGGGAUAACUACUGGAAACGGUAGCUAAUACCGCAUAAUGUCGCAAGACCAAAGUGGGGGACCUUCGGGCCUCAUGCCAUCAGAUGUGCCCAGAUGGGAUUAGCUAGUAGGUGGGGUAAUGGCUCACCUAGGCGACGAUCCCUAGCUGGUCUGAGAGGAUGACCAGCCACACUGGAACUGAGACACGGUCCAGACUCCUACGGGAGGCAGCAGUGGGGAAUAUUGCACAAUGGGCGCAAGCCUGAUGCAGCCAUGCCGCGUGUGUGAAGAAGGCCUUCGGGUUGUAAAGCACUUUCAGCGGGGAGGAAGGCGAUAAGGUUAAUAACCUCAUCGAUUGACGUUACCCGCAGAAGAAGCACCGGCUAACUCCGUGCCAGCAGCCGCGGUAAUACGGAGGGUGCAAGCGUUAAUCGGAAUUACUGGGCGUAAAGCGCACGCAGGCGGUCUGUCAAGUCGGAUGUGAAAUCCCCGGGCUCAACCUGGGAACUGCAUUCGAAACUGGCAGGCUAGAGUCUUGUAGAGGGGGGUAGAAUUCCAGGUGUAGCGGUGAAAUGCGUAGAGAUCUGGAGGAAUACCGGUGGCGAAGGCGGCCCCCUGGACAAAGACUGACGCUCAGGUGCGAAAGCGUGGGGAGCAAACAGGAUUAGAUACCCUGGUAGUCCACGCCGUAAACGAUGUCGAUUUGGAGGUUGUGCCCUUGAGGCGUGGCUUCCGGAGCUAACGCGUUAAAUCGACCGCCUGGGGAGUACGGCCGCAAGGUUAAAACUCAAAUGAAUUGACGGGGGCCCGCACAAGCGGUGGAGCAUGUGGUUUAAUUCGAUGCAACGCGAAGAACCUUACCUGGUCUUGACAUCCACAGAACUUAGCAGAGAUGCUUUGGUGCCUUCGGGAACUGUGAGACAGGUGCUGCAUGGCUGUCGUCAGCUCGUGUUGUGAAAUGUUGGGUUAAGUCCCGCAACGAGCGCAACCCUUAUCCUUUGUUGCCAGCGGUUAGGCCGGGAACUCAAAGGAGACUGCCAGUGAUAAACUGGAGGAAGGUGGGGAUGACGUCAAGUCAUCAUGGCCCUUACGACCAGGGCUACACACGUGCUACAAUGGCAUAUACAAAGAGAAGCGACCUCGCGAGAGCAAGCGGACCUCAUAAAGUAUGUCGUAGUCCGGAUUGGAGUCUGCAACUCGACUCCAUGAAGUCGGAAUCGCUAGUAAUCGUAGAUCAGAAUGCUACGGUGAAUACGUUCCCGGGCCUUGUACACACCGCCCGUCACACCAUGGGAGUGGGUUGCAAAAGAAGUAGGUAGCUUAACCUUCGGGAGGGCGCUUACCACUUUGUGAUUCAUGACUGGGGUGAAGUCGUAACAAGGUAACCGUAGGGGAACCUGCGGUUGGAUCACCU